rnacentral:rRNA from 1 species
AGACCCGAAACCCGGUGAUCUAGCCAUGGGCAGGUUGAAGGUUGGGUAACACUAACUGGAGGACCGAACCGACUAAUGUUGAAAAAUUAGCGGAUGACCUGUGGCUGGGGGUGAAAGGCCAAUCAAACCGGGAGAUAGCUGGUUCUCCCCGAAAGCUAUUUAGGUAGCGCCUCGUGAAUUCAUCUCCGGGGGUAGAGCACUGUUUCGGCUAGGGGGCCAUCCCGGCUUACCAACCCGAUGCAAACUGCGAAUACCGGAGAAUGUUAUCACGGGAGACACACGGCGGGUGCUAACGUCCGUCGUGAAGAGGGAAACAACCCAGACCGCCAGCUAAGGUCCCAAAGUCAUGGUUAAGUGGGAAACGAUGUGGGAAGGCCCAGACAGCCAGGAUGUUGGCUUAGAAGCAGCCAUCAUUUAAAGAAAGCGUAAUAGCUCACUGGUCGAGUCGGCCUGCGCGGAAGAUGUAACGGGGCUAAACCAUGCACCGAAGCUGCGGCAGCGAACGUAUCACUUAAAGCGAUUCAGCGGGUUACGAUUGACGGAGCGAAGCGACGUCAAAGCGUAUACAAAGUCGAGUCGGUUUAAGGAUACGUUCGUUGGGUAGGGGAGCGUUCUGUAAGCCUGUGAAGGUGGCCUGUGAGGGUUGCUGGA